GAGAAAGCGAAACCUUGUCUACCUUCUGAAAUGGAACAGUCCAUUUUGCUUACCGGAGGUCGUCUUAUCUAUCACGUGCGCGUAACUCUGUAAACAAACAGGAGCAGAAGUUAGCAAAGAGUUGGAGCAACUGGAUGGAGCUGAGCGUUUACUGACCAGAUGCCCUUCCUGAUGCCUACGCAGAAUUCAUAAAAGAUUUUUUUUCUUUGUGCCUUUGGAGAGAAACAUCUGUUGCUACCUAGGAUUGAAUUCUCAAUCUUAUGGGAGCUAUGCUCCAGACAGGUUCUUGGAACCUCUACCUUGAAAUCUGACCCAGGUGAUUCACUCCAAAGGGACACCAGCAAUAAACAGUAUGAAAGAUGAAUUUUUAAUGAAGCAUACCAAUAAAUCUGUCAUGCCCCAAAAAUCACGGAUAUCUUGCAAAGUGUCCUAGUUUCAUGUGCCAGGCAUCAUUUGUUACAGGAUGUCACAUCUUCCCACCUGAAGCCCCAAAUGGUUAGGCCUAGAAGCCACUUUUUUUUCUCUCCUUCUGUUGCUAUUUUAUGCAAUAAAACACCAAAGCUAUCUGCAACAGGGAUCAGAAGUGGCAGCUGGUUUGUGAAAUCCAGACAAGAGUCAAGAAAAGAAAAAACAAGGGGCUCCUUUGCUAAAGGCUUUGGUGAAUCUUUUGUCCGGCAAUUAAUCUGCAGCAAUUUGGAACUUGCAUGCAGUAUGAACAACCCAUCUGAAACAAUA